rnacentral:snoRNA from 1 species
GUCGACGUACUUCAUAGGAUCAUUUCUAUAGGUUACGACUCUCUUUUGAUUCUUCAAAAGAGCCAUUGAAUCCAACUUGGACGAUGAGUUUGGUCCUUAGUUCUUCAAAGUGAGAAAUUAAUUUUAUAAUUUGCCAUCUUUUAAUUAAGUUGUGCGCGAUGAUCUUUAUCCUAUCAUUUAACUUCUUUGAAGUGAUGACUGGAUGGAACUAAGUGACAGUCUGACAAGU